UAGAGUAGAGGAAAGGAGCAAUCCGCUUUACGAUGAGCCUGCGGCCUAUUAGCCUGUUGGUGGGGUAACGGCCUACCAAAGCUACGAUAGGUAGCCGACCUGAGAGGGUGACCGGCCACAUUGGGACUGAGAUACGGCCCAGACUCCUACGGGAGGCAGCAGCUGAGAAUCUUCCACAAUGGACGAAAGUCUGAUGGAGCGACAUCGCGUGAGGGAUGAAGGCCUUCGGGUUGUAAACCUCGGAAAUUAUCGAAGAAUGAGUGACAGUAGAUAAUGUAAGCCUCGGCUAACUACGUGCCAGCAGCCGCGGUAAUACGUAGGAGGCAAACGUUGCUCGGAUU
rnacentral:rRNA from 1 species